GAUAAUUAAAUUUAUCAUGUUAUAUAUACAUGCAUAUAAUGUUUUUUUUAAUUAGUUGUACAUUAAAAGUUAUUUAUAAAAAAAAAGAAAUUCAGUUGAAUAUUCAAAUUAAGUAGAUUUAUAGUUGAAUAAUUGUUAACAAAAAUGGACAUUAUUUACAAGGAUACCAAGUUUAGUUUUUUAAAAAAAAUUACACGAUUUUACUCAAGUGUAUGCCACGUGUGAAAUCAAGUCAUAACAAUAUACAGAUAUAUUAAUGUAAUAAAUACGAAUUUUUUUUACUAUACUGUAACUUAAAUGAUAUAUGAUAAAAUAAAAAUUAAAUACCGUAAAAAUGUAACGGUUUGUAUAGUGAAGAACAGCCAACUGGUCAGCCGUCAGUAUAAGAAAUUUUGUGUUUAUUUUAUUUUAUUCAAAUAUGGUGAGGACGAGUCGACAAGAAACUAUUCGGUCAGUUAACCAGGAGGACGUUGUUGAUAUCAUACAUUUAUAACGGACUCAUUGACAACUAAUAGAUAAUAAUAUUAUCAUUAAAUUGCGUUUAAAUUUCUUAAAAUUACAUUUUUUCUACAUCCUAAAAUUAUCUAGCGAUAACAAUAAUUAACUUUCAACUGAUAAAGUUUAAAAUUAUAUUAAUAAUAUAAAAAAAAACCAAAUAUUUUCCCCUUAUUUAAACUUUUUGAACUUGGUUAUUUUAGACCACAUUUUUAUCUCACGAUAAGA